GGGGUUGUAGUUCAGUGGUACAGCAUCUGCUUUGGAAGCAGAUGGCCCUAGGUUCAAUCCUUGGCAUCUCCA